ensembl:lncRNA
CUUUCACUCACACGUAGCUGAAUAGGUGGCUCAUCAUUAAAGCUCACUCAACUCUGCUGCUGAAGGCAAAGUUGAACAUAAGAAGCAAAGAUGAUUUUCACUUUGCUUCAUCAUCGUGUUGACUGGAAGCCAACAGCAGAGCGGCAGACAUUUUUGGAGUUUUCUAAUGACUGAAGAAAGAUGUGUGUCUGCAUUUUUGUGCACCUGUGCCAAUGUGCACUGCGGAGUGACUUCUUCCCGUUUGUUGGGGGAGGCUGAUAUUGGACAGCACUUUCAUUAAUCAGGUUGUCAGUACUGUUUGCUUCAUCCAUAUUGUAUGUCGAUGGGAUUCAUUAAGAUUGGCACCAACCGGCAUUGAUGUGCGAUGGGAGGGUGUUGCAAGUGGGUGGGGGGAGUCUCCAUCCCAACAAGAUGAUCUCACCUCCUGUCUGCAGCUCGGGAAAAAAAACAAAAAAAACCCCAGCUUUCAUUCAUGAAGUCCAUCCAUUCACACAUGCGCGUGCUCAGACACGUGCACACAAACACACACACAUACAACCCAACGUGUCUCCUAAUGGGAUGCCGAGGAGACAGUUGUGCCAAUGAGGCAAUAUUCAGGUGAGAUCACUGCCGGAUGCCGUGGCUCCUCUUUCCAUUUCAAAACUCUAAAGGAUGUGUGUUUGAUACCUUUUAUAAAACUCACCCACAAUUGUGCAACAUCCUUAGAGAGGGAACAAAAACAGUGGAAACUAAUGUGCGACAAGCAAGCAGUUGUUUACACAUCCAGUAAACAAUGAACACCAUUAAUGUCUUAUUGCACAUUUUUGAUCUCUUAUAACUACAUGCCACAAGACGUUUCACCAGCUGUGACUGUUUUCUAUUUGUCACCAGUCUGACUGAAAAUUCACUGUCUGCUGAACGAUACUGUGAGAAUUACCAGAAUGAACCAAAACAAAUCUGAAAUUAGUCGUAAGGCUCGAUGAAGUUAAGCUAAGUUGGUGAUUCAGGUGAUUUCCUUCAGGUUUAACAUUGU